GGUUGUGUAGUGUAGUGGUUAUCACUUUGGAUUUUGAUUCCAAUAACCUGGGUUCGAGUCCCAGCACGACCU
rnacentral:tRNA from 1 species